rnacentral:tRNA from 1 species
GCCGGGGUGGCUCAGUCGGUUGAGUGUCUGACUUUGGCUCAGGUCACGAUCUCUUGGUCUGGGAGUUCCAGCCCCUCAUCCGGCU